rnacentral:rRNA from 1 species
UUUGAGAGUUUGAUCCUGGCUCAGGAUGAACGCUGGCGGCGUGCCUAACACAUGCAAGUUGAGCGAUUUACUUCGGUAAAGAGCGGCGGACGGGUGAGUAACGCGUGGGUAACCUACCCUGUACACACGGAUAACAUACCGAAAGGGAUGCUAAUACGGGAUAAUAUAUUUGAGAGGCAUCUCUUAAAUAUCAAAGGUGAGCCAGUACAGGAUGGACCCGCGUCUGAUUAGCUAGUUGGUAAGG